rnacentral:lncRNA from 1 species
AAGUAGAGCAAAUCAUCAAAAAUUGAUAAGAGCCAGGCAGAGUGCUUCUUCUGUAAGAAGCUGGGUCAUUAGAAAAGGAAUUAUCCUGCUUACAUAUCCACCCUUGAUCCAAAUAGGCCUAAAAAUAAGAGAAAGAAGCAAGCGAUUGCUUCACAAGGUACUUAUAUGAUAACAUCUUACAAUUUUUCUAUUUGUGAUACUACUAUCUGGGUAUUGGAUAUCGAAAGUUCUUUUAAUAUAUGCAAUUCGUUGUAGGGACUGCAGGUAAGUAGAAAGUUUCGAGAGGAUGAGCGGUUCCUUAAUGUUAGAGAUGGAAGUCUUGUUUCAAUUCUGAUCUUGAAAACUUUGCAGCUUGUCUUCAAGUCCAGUAGUGUCAUGUUAAAUGAUUGUCAUUAUUAUUCCUCUUUUUUGAUGAAUAUC